UCGAGAAUCUUCCGCAAUGGACGAAAGUCUGACGGAGCGACGCCGCGUGGUGGAUGAAGUCCUUAGGGACGUAAACACCUUUUAUGAGUGAAGAAGUAUAUUGACAUUAGCUCAUGAAUAAGGGGCUCCCAACUCUGUGCCAGCAGGAGCGGUAAUACAGAGGCCUCAAGCGUUAUCCGGAUUCACUGGGCGUAAAGGGUGCGUAGGCGGUUAUAUCAGUCGGGUGUAAAAUUCUGGGGCUCAACCUCAGGUCCGCAUUCGAAACAGUAUAACUAGAAGAUGUGAGAGGUUUAGAGAACCCUCGGUGUAGGGGUGAAAUCCGUUGAUAUCGAGGGGAAUACCAAAUGCGAAGGCACUAAACUGGCACAUUCUUGACGCUGAGGCACGAAAGCGUGGGUAGCGAACGGGAUUAGAUACCCGCGUAGUCC
rnacentral:rRNA from 1 species